AGAACAUGAAUAAACAAAUUAGCAAGUGUAUAGAGCCAUGAGGAACUUAAGAGACAUUGAAUUUACUUUGAGAAAGACACCCGCCUGUCCUAACUUACCUUUAUUUGACAUUUACUAAUUAUACUCAGAGAAAUUCAUACACUAUCGCAAGAUGCAACCGAGAGUGAAUAUCCAACUUAAAUAUUCAUCCAGAAGAAUAGGAAGAUGUGGAAAGUUAUUGAAAACAACUGCCUGUGGACAAAAUUAGCUUUCAUUGGAAAGAUGGGUUAAUCAGGAGAAACAUGUUGAGACUAAAUUAUAUACAAAUUAGUUUAAUUAUUUGACAAGGUAAUAGAAAAGCUUUGUCAAUGUAGGUUUUGAACACAAUGACCAAUCAAAGUCAUUCCAAAGUUACACAGGAGCCUUUUUAAGUUGAGGCAACUGGAACUUAGGGGAACGUGACAAUAUAUACCCAGAAUUAUCUUCAACCAGAUGUAGAGACUACAAUAUACAGAGCUUUGUAAAAUACAGACCUGAUUUAUCAGUAUGAUAUCAAAAACUAAGGACUUAAGUUUGAGAAGUCUGAAUCAGACAGUGAACAUCAGCAUUAAUUUUUAUCGUGCAAGACAAUCAAUCCAAUCGUGAUUCUACCCUUAAAUGUUGCACAUACUCAGCCUCAAGAUAGUUUUCAGAAGUGGAGAACUCCAGCUGUCUUUUUCUACUGCAUAGGAUAUAACAGAGAAAAGCAGCAGCUGAUUGUGUGAACCUCUGGAGAAUUCUCAUCUGACAGAUGCAAUGAGCAGUU